GACGAACGCUGGCGGCGUGCCUAAUACAUGCAAGUCGAACGCACUCUCGUUUAGAUUGAAGGAGUUUGCUCCUGAUUGAUAAACAUUUGAGUGAGUGGCGGACGGGUGAGUAACACGUGGGUAACCUGCCCUUAAGUGGGGGAUAACAUUUGGAAACAGAUGCUAAUACCGCAUAAAACCUAACACCGCAUGGUGUAGGGUUGAAAGAUGGUUUCGGCUAUCACUUUAGGAUGGACCCGCGGUGCAUUAGUUAGUUGGUGAGGUAAAGGCUCACCAAGACCGUGAUGCAUAGCCGACCUGAGAGGGUAAUCGGCCACACUGGGACUGAGACACGGCCCAGACUCCUACGGGAGGCAGCAGUAGGGAAUCUUCCACAAUGGACGAAAGUCUGAUGGAGCAACGCCGCGUGAGUGAAGAAGGUUUUCGGAUCGUAAAACUCUGUUGUUGGAGAAGAAUGUAUCUGAUAGUAACUGAUCAGGUAGUGACGGUAUCCAACCAGAAAGCCACGGCUAACUACGUG
rnacentral:rRNA from 1 species